rnacentral:lncRNA from 1 species
CAGGGGAUUGUGGGAGGCAGAGGGGAUUGUGGGAGUCACUGAAGACUGAGGGAGGCGCAGAGGGCCACUCGAUGCCACGCCCCCGGCACAGAGAAUUGUGGGAGGCACAGGGGAUCCUGGGAGGCAUGGGGGAUUGUGGGAGUUACACAGGGCUGAGCACCUGCUGAGGAAUGUGGCAGCCCUUCGAUGUCUACUUGCUGCCUGGAUCCCAGCCUGGACUGGAUCAGACGUCAACAGGAUGGACAUGGCAGCCGCAGUCCCCGGAGGCUGGGCUGGGCUCUUCUCCCUGGCUCGGCCCCAGUCUUCUCUGUCCCUGGUUAACUGGCCUAGGAGCAGAUGACUUGUCUUCAGUUGCUUUACUUGGCCUGUGAUAGGCAAUCUUUCUGCCCAUUUCUCAGUAACAAAAUAGAACACCCCUCAUCUACUUGUGUCUUCCUUUCUUAAAUUCUGUAAAGCACUUGAUUGUUUGUUGCUUUGCAAGAAAAUAUAUAACUGAGGUAGUUUCUCCAAGACAAAAAGAAAUUUUAUUACUAAAAUCAAAUAUAGUCCCUUCUACUUCUAUAUUUUCAUGCUUCUGCAUAGAAAAUAACUUCAUUUCAAUGCUGAAUCACAGUGUAGUCUUGGAAGACAUUUUAAAUGACAAACUCAAAAUAUGUUGCACCAACAGUGCAGAUAGCUCAGUCGAGGUGACACCAUGACUGGAAAUGACUGAAUGCUCACAUGCACAGGGAUGGCAGUUACAUCACGGCUGCCGCCUGGCCAACAGCAACGACAAUGCCAUUAAUCCUAAAGGCAUCCUAAUUUCAGAAAUUAUAAAACAAGAGGGAGAAGGUUGUGCUUUAAUGGACAAAAGGCAAUUGUUCUGCAAAAAUACGAUAGUUUAGCAACCUAUAUUUUUCAUUCCGUAUUCUAUCCUCAACAUACUUCCUUCCGUGUCAAGGAAUAUCAAUAUCAACACUCUUAAAAACAACUUUGGAUUCCAUUUUCUUCAUUGUGUUCCAUUGACUGAAUUUAUUAUUCACCACAACCCUCAUUUGAAGCAAGUUGGGUGUUUUCUUUUUUCCAGCACUAUUAACAAUGAUGCAAAGACCAUCUUUAUAGAUAAUAAUUACACACAUCUUUUGUAAUUUUUAAAAGGCUUUGAUACAUAUUGCAUUAUUAACUUUUUACUUCGAUACCAAGAAAAAUGGGCAAAAGUACUCCUUGCCUAUGAGAUCUUAAGUGUUACAAGGCGACCUUCCUCAUUUCUAUUUUGGGAAGUCACUGCUACAGCUC